rnacentral:lncRNA from 1 species
UAUGUAUAUAAAUGUGUGUGAAAAUUCCUAUACUUGACAAAUAUGUGACAAUGCCGUGAUGUAAAUAGAACAGGAAUUAAAGGCAAAACACCAGCAAGAUGACAUCUCUUACCAAAGAAGAAGACAACUAUUUGAGAAUGGGCUUGUUGAUAACAGGGAUUUCACCACGUGCUGCACGAGUCUUAUUUGAUAGUGAAUUCCAUCAUUCGUGUUUAUAUGCAACGCUGAAGAAAGAAUAUAAGAAACUGAAAGACCUGAAAGACAAGAAUAAAGUUAUAAACUUGCAGCAGUGGAAUUUGUUGUUUUCAAGGC